rnacentral:rRNA from 1 species
CCUGGCUUAGGACGAACGCUGGCGGCGUGCCUAAUACAUGCAAGUCGAACGGUCUUUCUAUGGAAGCUUGCUUCCACUGAGAAGAUAGUGGCGAACGGGUGAGUAACACGUGGGUAACCUGCCCAUAAGAGGGGGGAUAACAUCCGGAAACGGGUGCUAAUACCGCAUAGUUUUCUUGAUCGCAUGAUUGAGAAAGGAAAGACGGCCUUUGUGCUGUCGCUUAUGGAUGGACCCGCGGCGUAUUAGUUAGUUGGUGAGGUAACGGCUCACCAAGACGAUGAUACGUAGCCGACCUGAGAGGGUGAUCGGCCACAUUGGGACUGAGACACGGCCCAAACUCCUACGGGAGGCAGCAGUAGGGAAUCUUCCGCAAUGGACGAAAGUCUGACGGAGCAACGCCGCGUGAGUGAAGUAAAAGGGUUUUCGGAUCGUAAAACUCUGUUGUCAGAGAAGAACAAGUUGGAGAGUAACUGCUCCAGCCUUGACGGUAUCUGACCAGAAAGCCACGGCUAACUACGUGCCAGCCGCAGC